GGCGGCAGCCUACACAUGCAGUUCGAGCGGAUGAAGGGAGCUUGCUCCUGGAUUCAGCGGCGGACGGGUGAGUAAUGCCUAGGAAUCUGCCUGGUAGUGGGGGAUAACGUCCGGAAACGGGCGCUAAUACCGCAUACGUCCUGAGGGAGAAAGUGGGGGAUCUUCGGACCUCACGCUAUCAGAUGAGCCUAGGUCGGAUUAGCUAGUUGGUGGGGUAAAGGCCUACCAAGGCGACGAUCCGUAACUGGUCUGAGAGGAUGAUCAGUCACACUGGAACUGAGACACGGUCCAGACUCCUACGGGAGGCAGCAGUGGGGAAUAUUGGACAAUGGGCGAAAGCCUGAUCCAGCCAUGCCGCGUGUGUGAAGAAGGUCUUCGGAUUGUAAAGCACUUUAAGUUGGGAGGAAGGGCAGUAAGUUAAUACCUUGCUGUUUUGACGUUACCAACAGAAUAAGCACCGGCUAACUUCGUGCCAGCAGCCGCGGUAAUACGAAGGGUGCAAGCGUUAAUCGGAAUUACUGGGCGUAAAGCGCGCGUAGGUGGUUCAGCAAGUUGGAUGUGAAAUCCCCGGGCUCAACCUGGGAACUGCAUCCAAAACUACUGAGCUAGAGUACGGUAGAGGGUGGUGGAAUUUCCUGUGUAGCGGUGAAAUGCGUAGAUAUAGGAAGGAACACCAGUGGCGAAGGCGACCACCUGGACUGAUACUGACACUGAGGUGCGAAAGCGUGGGGAGCAAACAGGAUUAGAUACCCUGGUAGUCCACGCCGUAAACGAUGUCGACUAGCCGUUGGGAUCCUUGAGAUCUUAGUGGCGCAGCUAACGCGAUAAGUCGACCGCCUGGGGAGUACGGCCGCAAGGUUAAAACUCACAUGAAUUGACGGUGGCCCGCACAAGCAGUGGAGCAUGUGGUUUGAUUCUAAGCAACGCGAAGAACCUUACCUGUCCUUGACAUGCUGAGAGCUUACAGAUAUGCAUUGGUGCCUUGGUGAACUCGGGAACUCAGACACAGGUGUGGCAUGUCUGUUGUCAGCUCGUGUCGGGAUAUGUGGGGUUAGACCGCAAACAUGGCCAUCCUUGCCCCUGAUUAGCAGGGCCUUGGGUGUGCCCUCUAAGAACACUCCCAGAAAACCGCCAGGAGAGGGGUAGGGGGGGUGGGGAACUUUUUUUAUUGGGGGUUAGAGCGGCCGGCCCCAAACGUGUAAGGUGUGCGGGCAAGUGGGGCCC
rnacentral:rRNA from 1 species